rnacentral:rRNA from 1 species
UACAGAGGUCUAAGCGUUGUUCGGAUUCCUUGGGCGUAAAGGGUGCGUAGGUGGUGAUGCAAGUCUGGUGUGAAAUCUCGGAGCUUAACUCCGAAAUUGCACCGGAUACUGCGUUGCUCGAGGACUGUAGAGGAGAUCGGAAUUCACGGUGUAGCAGUGAAAUGCGUAGAUAUCGUGAGGAAGACCAGUUGCGAAGGCGGAUCUCUGGGCAGUUCCUGACACUGAGGCACGAAGGCCAGGGGAGCAAACGGG